rnacentral:rRNA from 1 species
UGAUUAGAUACCAUCGUAGUCUCAACCAUAAACGAUGCCGACUAGGGAUUGGCAGAUGUUAGUUCGAUGACUCUGCCAGCACCUUAUGAGAAAUCAAAGUCUUUGGGUUCCGGGGGGAGUAUGGUCGCAAGGCUGAAACUUAAAGAAAUUGACGGAAGGGCACCACCAGGAGUGGAGCUUGCGGCUUAAUUUGACCCAACACGGGGAAACUUACCAGGUCCAGACAAAGUAAGGAUUGACAGAUUGAGAGCUCUUUCUUGAU